UACACACCGCCCGUCACACCAUGGGAGUGGGUUGCAAAAGAAGUAGGUAGCUUAACCUUCGGGAGGGCGCUUGCCACUUUGUGAUUCAUGACUGGGGUG
rnacentral:rRNA from 1 species